rnacentral:tRNA from 2 species
GCUCGUGUGGCGGAAUCGGCAGACGCAACGGACUUAAAAUCCGUCGGAGUAAAAUCCGUACCGGUUCAAGUCCGGUCAUGAGCACCA